rnacentral:lncRNA from 1 species
GCCAGCGGCGAGCACUGGCUUGCUUCACAGUGAACGCCUUCGUUGCCUGGCGACUAGUCCCUGCGGCUUAGCGGAGAGGGGGCGUCGGCGUUGGGCUCUCGCCUGUCUUCUCUGGGGGGAUCCUCGGGAUACUCCCACGAUCUAGGACAGGGCAGGGGCGAGCCAGCCUGAGGAAACGUCAAGGGAAGGCCCAGGGAUACACCGCGAAAUCCCUAAGAAUCCAAAAGGAUCCGCAGGAGGCGUCAGGCCUGCCUAGACGGAGUGGGUAGCACUUAGCACCUGCCCGCCCUCCACCUUCUCCACCACCCAGCAGGAGCGGGGCGGCCUGGAUCUGUUUUCUGCCCCUGACCAGGGGGCCGCGUCUUCGGCAAAGUCUUCGGGGUGAGAGGUCCGGCUCCUGGAGGACAGCGGGAUGGGAGAGUCCCGUUCACACCCAGCCCCGCAGAGCCGGAUAGAAACGCUGCCACUGCCGACUCCAUGCUGCCGGGAAGUGCACUGUGGAGGCCACUUUCUGGAAAGAAGAAACCGUCUGAACACAAAGUUGCUCAAGCCAUGUUCAUCUAUCUGCCAGGGAAACGGAGGCCCUGAGUGCCAGAGUCCAAGUCACCCUGCAAGAGAAAACUCUGGUGGAGCCCAGGGUGUCCAGCCCCUGUCCACCCAGCCGCCGUGGUCAAGGUUAAUAAGGGCAAGGGGCCAAGCAGAACCGCCUACAAGGAACCGAGUGUCCACAAAGCAGGAAGCGAAGAACGUUUCUCCUACCUAGAGCGCAGCCGUUUUGCGGAAGGCACAGUCCGGGCUCCGGGAGCCAAGCAGGGAUCCGGGCCUCGUUGCGGAGGGGACGCCCGGGCUGAGCUGAGCUCACUUGCUGGCGGCGGCAGCCCCUGCAGUCAUGGGGUCACCGGCUUGUGGAGAGGGGCUGGCGCUGUUCCUUGGCCCCGCUCCCCGCCCGCAAAGGGCCGGGAGGUCGGGCUCCCGGCAGUGUCCAGGCUCUCGCCCGCCGGUGCCUGAGCCGUACCCACCGCGUCCCCUCCGCCCCAACAGCUGGUGCUGAGGGUCCGGCCCGGGGUCAUCUGGCAGGGCCGUGCGGCUCCUGCGGGUGACCAGGAGCGCGGAGCCCCUUCCCACUCGGGCUCGGGUGGCCUCACCUUUCCUGGGGCUGCGUCCCCGCGGGACGCCAGGUUCCCGGUUUCUUCUAGGUCGCCCUGGUUCCUGGCAGCUCCUGGUGCCACGCGGUCCUCUACGGUCUCCUCUGACCUGAGAGGGACAGUGAGAUGGGGCUGGCGGGGAUGGGGGUCCCCGCGCUGUUGGAAAGCAGCGGGGCUGCUGCUGACCGGAGCCGCCUGGGUCUGUUCUGGAACCGUCGCCCUGGGGCCCCUCCGCCCCGCAAACGCUCGGGAUGCGGUUUGGGAGUGUAGCUGGACACCGAGCACCAUCCACGCUCAGCCCCACGGGGCUCCAGGAGUCCCGAGCCCAAGCCCCUGCACUUGCAUUUUAUUUAAAAAACCUGAGGGUUAAAUUCGGGCAAGUCAGUUGCCUCAGUGUUUGUCGCCUGCUGCCUCUAUGUCGGCUUCUUUUGCUGGCAGUCAGAGACCAAGCCCCCACGCCCUCCAGGACCCUCUAUCUGGUGAGGCCACCUCUGCAAUCAUGAGCAGCACUGAGGUGCUUCCGACCAGGGGUCACUGCCCCAGCCGGUGAGAGGCCCUGCAGUGGGGACUGGAGAUGUGCGACGCAGCCUCCCAGAGCCCGCAUCCUCUUGCCCAAGGAGGCUGCACACCCUCACUCAGGGCUGUGAGGGGGAAUGAGGGCAGCUCACAGGCUAAGGGGCCGCUGAAGACAGGUUUUGUGGACAGGUGAUUUAGGAGCCUGGAGGAAGCAGAAAUCUUUAGAGAUGGAUCAUUUUCCUUACAAGAAUAGAUACCAGGUAAGAGAAGCAGCCUUUAAAGCAGCGAAUAGCAGCUCAUGCAUGCUAAUUAUUUGCUUACUUCUCUGGCUCCCCUAUUGAUGGCAUCUUGAGGGCCGGUAUGAACAUGUCAUGCAGUCUCCAAGCAACCCACAGUAGGCCCACCAUAAACAGAUGUUGUGGCCAGCAUGGGAGGUGCAAUGGUGAGUUGCUCUGUUUCCUCCCUCCCGUCCCCCUCCCCACCCCUCCCCUCCCCCUCCCCUCCCCCUCCCCUCCCUUCCCCUUCCCUUCCCUUCCUCUCUCACAAAACAGUCACAGAGAGAGGACAGCAGCGUACAUGGUGAGGUGCUGACGAUUCUGGUCCACUGGAUCCCACCAUCCCUAGGACAGUAAAUACCGUCCUAGUCACUACCCAGCAAGUUACCACCGCAUCAUUUCCUGCAUGUUCCAAAAUGAAU